rnacentral:rRNA from 1 species
UUGAUCCUGGCUCAGGAUGAACGCUGGCGGCGUGCUUAACACAUGCAAGUCGAACGGUGAAGCAGAGCUUGCUCUGUGGAUCAGUGGCGAACGGGUGAGUAACACGUGAGCAAUCUGCCCCUGACUCUGGGAUAAGCGCUGGAAACGGCGUCUAAUACCGGAUACGAGCUGCGACCGCAUGGUCAGUAGCUGGAAAGAAUUUCGGUCAGGGAUGAGCUCGCGGCCUAUCAGCUUGUUGGUGAGGUAAUGGCUCACCAAGGCGUCGACGGGUAGCCGGCCUGAGAGGGUGACCGGCCACACUGGGACUGAGACACGGCCCAGACUCCUACGGGAGGCAGCAGUGGGGAAUAUUGCACAAUGGGCGCAAGCCUGAUGCAGCAACGCCGCGUGAGGGAUGACGGCCUUCGGGUUGUAAACCUCUUUUAGCAGGRAAGAAGCGAAAGKACGGUACCUKCAGAA